UCUGCUNUGAAAGGCUGGGGCUUAACCCUGGUUUUGCAGUGGGUACGGGCUAACUAGAGUGCAGUAGGGAAGACUGGAAUUCCUGGUGUAGCGGUGGAAUGCGCAGAUNUCAGGAGGAACACCGAUGGCGAAGGCAGGUCUCUGGGCUGUAACUGACGCUGAGAAGCGAAAGCAUGGGGAGCGAACAGGAUUAGAUACCCUGGUAGUCCAUGCCGUAAACGUUGGGCACUAGGUGUGGGGGNCAUUCCACGUUUUCCGCGCCGUAGCUAACGCAUUAAGUGCCCCGCCUGGGGAGUACGGCCGCAAGGCUAAAACUCAAAGAAAUUGACGGGGGCCCGCACAAGCGGCGGAGCAUGCGGAUUAAUUCGAUGCAACGCGAAGAACCUUACCAAGGCUUGACAUAUACUGGACUGCGUCAGAGAUGGCGUUUCCCUUCGGGGCUGGUAUACAGGUGGUGCAUGGUUGUCGUCAGCUCGUGUCGUGAGAUGUUGGGUUAAGUCCCGCAACGAGCGCAACCCUCGUUCUAUGUUGCCAGCACGUGAUGGUGGGGACUCAUAGGAGACUGCCGGGGUCAACUCGGAGGAAGGUGGGGAUGACGUCAAAUCAUCAUGCCCCUUAUGUCUUGGGCUUCACGCAUGCUACAAUGGCCGGUACAGAGGGUUGCGAUACUGUGAGGUGGAGCUAAUCCCUAAAAGCCGGUCUCAGUUCGGAUUGGGGUCUGCAACUCGACCCCAUGAAGUCGGAGUCGCUAGUAAUCGCAGAUCAGCAACGCUGCGGUGAAUACGUUCCCGGGCCUUGUACACACCGCCCGUCAAGUCACGAAAGUUGGUAACACCCGAAGCCGUGGCCUAACCCUAGUGGGGGGAGCCGUC
rnacentral:rRNA from 1 species